GCUACUAUGGCUCAGAUGGUAGAGCACAUCCUUGGUAAGGAUGAGGUCGCCGGUUCGAUUCCGGCUAGUAGCUCCA
rnacentral:tRNA from 1 species